AGAGUUUGAUCCUGGCUCAGAUUGAACGCUGGCGGCAGGCCUAACACAUGCAAGUCGAGCGGUAGCACAGAGAGCUUGCUCUCGGGUGACGAGCGGCGGACGGGUGAGUAAUGUCUGGGAAACUGCCUGAUGGAGGGGGAUAACUACUGGAAACGGUAGCUAAUACCGCAUAACGUCGCAAGACCAAAGUGGGGGACCUUCGGGCCUCAUGCCAUCAGAUGUGCCCAGAUGGGAUUAGCUAGUAGGUGGGGUAAUGGCUCACCUAGGCGACGAUCCCUAGCUGGUCUGAGAGGAUGACCAGCCACACUGGAACUGAGACACGGUCCAGACUCCUACGGGAGGCAGCAGUGGGGAAUAUUGUACAAUGGGCGCAAGCCUGAUGCAGCCAUGCCGCGUGUAUGAAGAAGGCCUUCGGGUUGUAAAGUACUUUCAGCGAGGAGGAAGGCAUUAAGGUUAAUAACCUUAGUGAUUGACGUUACUCGCAGAAGAAGCACCGGCUAACUCCGUGCCAGCAGCCGCGGUAAUACGGAGGGUGCAAGCGUUAAUCGGAAUUACUGGGCGUAAAGCGCACGCAGGCGGUCUGUUAAGUCAGAUGUGAAAUCCCCGGGCUCAACCUGGGAACUGCAUUUGAAACUGGCAGGCUUGAGUCUUGUAGAGGGGGGUAGAAUUCCAGGUGUAGCGGUGAAAUGCGUAGAGAUCUGGAGGAAUACCGGUGGCGAAGGCGGCCCCCUGGACAAAGACUGACGCUCAGGUGCGAAAGCGUGGGGAGCAAACAAAAUUAGAUACCCUGGUAGUCCACGCUGUAAACGAUGUCGACUUGGAGGUUGUUCCCUUGAGGAGUGGCUUCCGGAGCUAACGCGUUAAGUCGACCGCCUGGGGAGUACGGCCGCAAGGUUAAAACUCAAAUGAAUUGACGGGGGCCCGCACAAGCGGUGGAGCAUGUGGUUUAAUUCGAUGCAACGCGAAGAACCUUACCUACUCUUGACAUCCAGAGAACUUAGCAGAGAUGCUUUGGUGCCUUCGGGAACUCUGAGACAGGUGCUGCAUGGCUGUCGUCAGCUCGUGUUGUGAAAUGUUGGGUUAAGUCCCGCAACGAGCGCAACCCUUAUCCUUUGUUGCCAGCGAUUCGGUCGGGAACUCAAAGGAGACUGCCAGUGAUAAACUGGAGGAAGGUGGGGAUGACGUCAAGUCAUCAUGGCCCUUACGAGUAGGGCUACACACGUGCUACAAUGGCAUAUACAAAGAGAAGCGACCUCGCGAGAGCAAGCGGACCUCAUAAAGUAUGUCGUAGUCCGGAUUGGAGUCUGCAACUCGACUCCAUGAAGUCGGAAUCGCUAGUAAUCGUAGAUCAGAAUGCUACGGUGAAUACGUUCCCGGGCCUUGCACACACCGCCCGUCA
rnacentral:rRNA from 1 species